rnacentral:tRNA from 1 species
GGAGAGGUGGCUGAGCGGUCGAAGGCACCGCCUUGGAAAGGCGGCGUACGGGAAACUGUACCAAGGGUUCGAAUCCCUUCCUCUCCG